CGGGUCAUGCCGAUGAAAAUUAAAAUGUGUAAAUGUACCUAAUCAAAUACCUACUACUUAUUAUGUGUGCAACGAUAAUAACAAACUUAUGUAAGCAAAGUUAGCCCUUAGCUGCACCCACCGCUGACAGGUGUCAAUGUCAAACACACGUCACGCAUGCACACAGCAGCAAGCUCACACACACUCAGGAGCGAACGAACCAUUUCCGGUGGACUAGCGGGAGAGAAAAGCCGACAAAAGUGAAGUGCAGAAAUUAAACCCGAAACACCCGCCACGUUGUGCCACCGAACAGCCACAGCGAGCCGUGUACAAGUCCUCCGACGAGGAAACAUCGGUGUCGGUGGCCACCACCGAUUCACCAACCAUCCCGCUCACCACACGGCCGCUGCUUCGACUGAGAAGUCCGGAGGAACCUGGAAGGAAAGCUGCACCCAGCCGAAAUUGCUCGGCGGAACCAUCCCACACUCCAACAGCACCAUCUGCUAGUGUUCGUCCCGGAUGAUUGGGCAUAAUUCCCCGACCAACCAAAGAAGAUCGCCUGUGGAUAAAAUCGAGCCUUCCCAACGAAGGCUCUUUUCCUAGGCGUCAAUAGCAAGAGUUGCUCCAACAUCGCAGUAGAGGUCGGAAGUUCGCCACUCGACCGGGAAAGCACGGCAAAUCCGACAAGCCAUCGAACGAACGCCGGCGCGGUUUGGAACGAAUCCGGGAAGCUACUCCGAACACUGACCCGACGAUCCAAGACCAAAAGGUCUCCUUCUCGGUGAAAGACGAGCCUUCAUGAGGAAGGCUCGUUAUGCGGGAUUGAGACCCGUUACCCGUCUCAGUGUAAUCGUGCGACCACGGAUUCCAUCGCCAGCUCUUCCGCGCAUAUAACGCGGCCAAAACAACGUUGCGGUGGUGCUGCGGAACGGUUCCCGAACUCAUCUCUAGACCGAGGCGCGAUUCCGGACGAUCACUCAGUCCGUCAUUUUCGUCGUAGUUGCCAGGCGGUUACAGCGGCAUCGGAGCGUACCGAAGGUCACGGCGGCGUGCCGGAAAAGUGGUCACUGAACCACGCGUGGAACUGGCACCCUGCCGGUUGGGAAACUGGCCCGUAUCUUCGUCGACACGGCCUCGUCGUGUAUUUGCGUCCAGUCAUUCCCCGGACGAACUAUCACCAACGAUCGCCUCGGCGGCGACACCUUCGGCCGUCGCAGACCAUCUGCCACGGGAAGGAGAACGAGUGUGUGUGUGCGUGCAUGAAGUGGUGGUGUGCUUAGAGCGCGCCAAGAAUAGCGCUUUCGAGGAACAGCGCUUUCGAACCAUCGAUCCUGCGGGGCCCCGGCAUCGUCAACAGCAGCAGCGUCGACAGCAGCAGAUGCUGCCCAAGGUCAGACUAGCUUAAGGUAGUUUUAAGAGAAGAAAUACCAAAAUUAUAUCAUGUUGCCUUUACGAAACUUCCUCAUAUUUGCCUUGUGUUUCGCACAUAUGUUAUUGACUGUGCGGCGAUCCUCAUAAACAUACCACCAACUUAGCCGGGUCAGACUGUGAGUGAUUGAGGCGCCGACCACUCAAUACAGUAACGUCCCGUUUUUGUGGCCUUAGCCCUAUACCUAUUCCGUAAAUUAAUAAACAUGAGAACCAAAAUAUCGCCUUAUCGUUAUAUGGCUUUUGCGUGAAUCGAUUAU